CUUUGUUGUUGGACUAUUUUGCUUCUUGCAGAAACGAUUUGCACAAAUCACACCACUGAUAUCAUAGUAUAGACAUAUCAAUCAAUUUAUGAAUCCUCAUAAUAAUUGUGUAGAUAAAUAGUGAAAACAUUAAUUUAUUAGGAAUCUAAUUAAGAGUUAAUAAGACUUGAUUAAACUUAGGAAAAGUAUAGUACAUACAGCUUUUUUGAGAUGGGGAAGGCACUUGACUGCAUGAUCUAUGAAGAUAUCAAAAGCCAUUUCAUUGAUAGUGUUAUAAAGCGUUAGGAAGCAAAAUAUCAUGUAGUCUGGAAGAUUGUUAAUGGUAUUUACAUCCCAUCUGAUAUAAAAGCAUGCAUAUAAUAAUUAUUAAAUUUUGCCGCAUUAAGUUAUUGUUAUAAAUAUAUACUAAAUAAUAUAAUAAAGCAACCUCUCAACAGCAUCCGUGAAGAGAACAUCAAUUUUCUUUUGAAGUGGCUUGAUUCUCUUUUUCAUUUUUUUGCAUUUGUUAUUUUAAAUUGGGUUUUUGCUAAUAAUCUUAAUGAGUGGCCACUGUUUUCAUUUUGCAACUUAGAGUGCUGAAUUUAAUCAAUCAUUUUGAAUAGCAAUUAGAGUGAAACUAUGGUUGUGACUUCUGUCUUGUCAAUUAUAGUGAAAACUAUAAAACAUUACUAUUGAGUAGAUGUGCUUGCUUACUUAAAGAAAUAUUUUAAUGGUUAUUGUUUCUACAAAUGUAAUGUAUUUUCCCUCAUCAGUUUGAUAGAAAAACGGGUAGGAUCUUGAAGGGGUUUCAUACUAUGGUCCACGAAGUGAUUUUUCUGGCAUCGAGAUAAGCAACAGAUUAGUGGGAAACAAGAGAAGCAAUUCUGAUUCUACUUUUAUGGGUUCUAAAAAGAACUAGGCAUAAUGCAGUUAUUUUUGAAUCAAAUAUAGUAGAUGAUUCAGUAUAGAAUAAGUUGAGCAAGUUUCCUAAAUCUACAAAUUGUAUUCACUUAUUGAUGGUAUUUUCUCAUUUACUAUUGUUGGCAGCUAAGAAGUUUGGGGUUAAUGAAUUUGUGAACCCGAAAGAUCAUAACAAACCUAUACAAGAGGUCAGUUUUACUGGUUCGACGGAGACUGGCCGGAAGGUAAUGAUGGCGGCAACCAUGAGCAAUUUGAAAUCAGUUUCACUUGAAUUAGGUGGCAAGUCCCCAGUCUUGAUCUUUGAUGAUGCUGAUGUUGACAAAGCUGUUGACCUUGCUCUCUUUGGUACCCUACACAACAAGACUAGUAAUGUACAAUUUGAGAAAAUUCUGUCCUAUAUUAAGCUUGGAAAGAAAGAAGGAUAGAACUGGGGGGGAAAAGAUUUGGAAACAAGGGCUACUACAUUGAGCCUACAAUUUUUUCUAAUGUUAAGGAGCAUUGAGGAAGGAAUUGAGAAGGCAAAUAUCAGCAAAUAUGGGCUAGCGUCGGGGAUUGUGACAAAGAACAUGGAUAUUGCAAACACAGUGUCAAGGUCCAUCCGAGCAGGCAUUGUUUGGAUCAAUUGCUUCUUUGCCUUUGAUGUUGAUUGCCUUUUGGAGGCUACAUGAUGAGUGGAUUUGGAAGAGAUUAUGGAUUGGAAGUACUCGGUUAGGUUAUUUAAUUACUUUAUUUUAAAUAUUUUGUAUUAUUAGUGGAUUGCAAUUUAAACGAAUAUAAGUUUAUGUUUAAUUAUUUAUCUUAUCUUGA